UACGUAGGUGGCAAGCGAUACUCGGAAUCACUAGGCGUAAAGCGCAGGUAGGCGGUUUGGUAAGUCUUUUGUGAAAGCUCCCGGCUCAACUGGGAGAGGUCAAGGGAAACUACCGGACUAGAGUGUGGUAGGGGAUACUGGAAUUCCUGGUGUAGCGGUGAAAUGCGUAGAUAUCAGGAGGAAUACCUAUGGCGAAAGCAGGUAUCUGGGCCAUCACUGACGCUGAGCUGCGAAAGCUAGGGGAGCAAACGGG
rnacentral:rRNA from 1 species